rnacentral:rRNA from 1 species
AUUGAACGCUGGCGGCAGGCCUAACACAUGCAAGUCGAACGAGUGGCGGACGGGUGAGUAAUGUCUGGGAAACUGCCUGAUGGAGGGGGAUAACUACUGGAAACGGUAGCUAAUACCGCAUACCAUCAGAUGUGCCCAGAUGGGAUUAGCUAGUUGGUGGGGUAACGGCUCACCAGGGCGACGAUCCCUAGCGGGUCUGAGAGGAUGACCAGACAGACGGGAAAUGGGACACGGUCCAGACUCCUACGGGAGGCAGCAGUGGGGAAUAUUGCAAAAUGGGCGCAAGCCGGAUGCAGCAAGGCCGCGGAUAGGAAGAAGGCCUUCGGGUUGUAAAGUACGUUCAGCGGGGAGGCGUUACCCGCAGAAGAAGCACCGGCUAACUCCGUGCCAGCAGCCGCGGUAAUAC